UACAACUGGGUGACACAGAAGUUGUCAAAGUCAAUCGCUAUAGAAACUAAUACCGAGCAGUGUUUUAAUAAAGUUUACUUGACGCCUGUGAUUCAAUAAUUACAAAUAAAAGUACUUUUAGGAUUUUUUUGAAUUUUGUACUAUACCUUGUAAGUAAGGUAUUAGUUUGUAAGUCAAUAAAAUCAGAAUUAGAAAAGUUUUUCAUGUAAAAUAUGACGAAAGUUGAGAAUAUAUAGUAGGUACCUACCUACAUACUUAUUUCAUAAAGCAGAAUUACAGUUUUAGAGUUAGUUGAAGUGAAUUUAAUUAAUUGUGUUAUUUUUGUAGUGUUUACCGACAUUGCCAUGUACAAUACAAUGCAUGUAGCAUUUGUAUUGUACGCGGAAACGGAACGAAAAAGAUGUCUUUGUCGAGUUCAUUGCAAAACUUUCGUGUCGCGAUACCAGCAGGUUUUAGAAGAAAUACAAAGUCUUCGAACAACUGCUGUUCGCAAUGAAUUAGAGAUAAGUAAGUUAUAUGAAUGAAUGAAGGAAUUUUCUUCAUUCUCUGCGUUGAGCAAGUGACGUGGACUAUGGGCCUAACCCCUCUCAUUCUGAGAGGAGACUCGAGCUCAGCAGUGAGCCGAAUAUGGUAUUUUUAUAUGGUGAGCUUCCAUCAUAGGAUAAGUUGGUUUAAGAUUUGGAGUAGGCUUAUUCAGUACUAGCAGACACACCAUAGUUUGACCGGUGUAGUUCCCGUUCCUGUGGGAAUAUGGGGUAGCACAGAGUAAUACGGGCUAUAUUUUAUAUAGCCUAUAUUACUCUGUGCUGUAGCUUACCAAUGGUGAAAGAUUUUUUAUAAUCAGUCCAGUAGUAUUUGUGUUAGAUUGUAAGAAACAAAUAAUAUUAUCUAAAGAUCGGUCACUGUCAUCCUAAGAACCUAAAUUAAACCAUUGAAUAUUAUUUACAGGUCUUGGCAGCUUUAAACUUUUAUGCCAAUGGAUCAUACAAAUGGCUUUGUGAUGGCUAAGGCAUCUUUUAGCAAAUGCCUACAUGAAGUCGCUGACGCUCCUGAAUACCCCAGCUGUUUAAAAAAAAUGUGUUAAGUUCCCUUUGCAUUAAACACAAAAUCAUUAUAAAUAAGUGACCAAUGUUUGCAUGAUGACCCCCAUCUUGGGAGCUGCUCCUAGAUCCCAUGAAGAUAUGCACAACAUUGCUGUGUCAGAAAUAUGGUGGAGCCUUGUAGUUGGGUGCAUAUUGUAAAAUGUUUCCUCACUCCAAAACCAUGAACUCUGGUUUCCUAAACCCUCAAGCUAUGCAGCCGAAGGAGGAGACUUAUCACAGGAGAAUCACUAAUAAUUUUGAAGAAGUGAAGAGCUUAACAAUGUUUCAACCAACACCUAAAGAAGCUUUCACUUGGCUGUUAGAUCAAGGGCUGGAUACAGAAAACAGUAAUCCUUGUGAUGGCAGUAUUGUCCAAGGAUUCCUCACUCAAAACCAUGAUAACAAGUUGCUAGAACCCUCAAGCUAUGCAGACAAAGGACUGGAUAUAUUUUUUCGUGACCAAGCCUUCUGUAUAAUUAUUUAUACUUAAACCAUACAAAGCACUAUCUAGCCCCAAAGUAGGCAUACAUAGUAGCUUGUGUUGUGGGUACUAAGAUAGUUGAUAUUAUAAUAUUCAUUUACAUUUAUAUACUACCUAUAAAUACUUAUAUAAUGUAUAAAUACACACACACUGGAAAAAACCCAUGCUCUUCACACAAAUAUUUUCCAGGUGUGGGAAUCGAACCCAUGACCGUGGAUGCAGGAGCACUACUUACUGCGCCACGCGUAUGUGUUUUUAUUUUGAAGCAAAUUAUUAAAGUUGAUAAUUCAAAUUGUAGUCAUGUUUUUAAUUAAUCUAUAAUUAAUUUUUAAUUUACAUUUUUGUUAAAUAUUUACCUAUACUUCAGUCUAUUUUUGUUAGAGGGGGUACCUAUAUGUGUAAGUAGGGUCGUUUCUUGAUUAAAUUAAACUAAAGAAUGAAAGAUAUAUAUUAUAACAAAAUUUGUCAACAACAAUAUAUCAAGUCUGAAUAAAAAAUACCAACACAAGUAAA